rnacentral:rRNA from 1 species
AGCGAACGCUGGCGGCAGGCUUAACACAUGCAAGUCGAACGGGCUCUUCGGAGCUAGUGGCAGACGGGUGAGUAACGCGUGGGAACGUGCCUUUCGGUUCGGAAUAACUCAGGGAAACUUGAACUAAUACCGGAUACGCCCUUCGGGGGAAAGAUUUAUCGCCGAAAGAUCGGCCCGCGUCUGAUUAGCUAGUUGGUGAGGUAAUGGCUCACCAAGGCGACGAUCAGUAGCUGGUCUGAGAGGAUGAUCAGCCACAUUGGGACUGAGACACGGCCCAAACUCCUACGGGAGGCAGCAGUGGGGAAUAUUGGACGAUGGGCGCAAGCCUGAUCCAGCCAUGCCGCGUGAGUGAUGAAGGCCUUAGGGUUGUAAAGCUCUUUUGUCCGGGAAGAUAAUGACUGUACCGGAAGAAUAAGCCCCGGCUAACUUCGUGCCAGCCGCCGCAGUAACAC